rnacentral:rRNA from 1 species
GAUGAACGCUAGCGGCAGGCUUAACACAUGCAAGUCGAGGGGUAACGAUAGUGCUUGCACUAGGUGACGACCGGCGAACGGGUGCGUAACGCGUAUAGAAUCUGCCUUGUACAGGAGGAUAGCCUUUAGAAAUGAAGAUUAAUACUCCAUAAUGUAUUAGCAUCGCAUGAUGCAAAUAUUAAAGAUUUAUCGGUACAAGAUGACUAUGCGCCCUAUUAGUUAGUUGGUAAGGUAACGGCUUACCAAGGCAGCGAUAGGUAGGGGGUCUGAGAGGAUUAUCCCCCACACUGGUACUGAGACACGGACCAGACUCCUACGGGAGGCAGCAGUGAGGAAUAUUGGACAAUGGAGGUAACUCUGAUCCAGCCAUGCCGCGUGCAGGAAGACUGCCCUAUGGGUUGUAAACUGCUUUUAUACAGGAAGAAACCUACUUACGUGUAAGUAGCUGACGGUACUGUAAGAAUAAGCACCGGCUAACUCCGUGCCAGCAGCCGCGGUAAUACGGAGGGUGCAAGCGUUAUCCGGAAUCAUUGGGUUUAAAGGGUCCGCAGGCGGUCGAUUAAGUCAGAGGUGAAAUCCCAUAGCUUAACUAUGGAACUGCCUUUGAUACUGGUUGACUUGAGUUAUAUGGAAGUAGAUAGAAUAAGUAGUGUAGCGGUGAAAUGCAUAGAUAUUACUUAGAAUACCGAUUGCGAAGGCAGUCUACUACGUAUGUACUGACGCUCAUGGACGAAAGCGUGGGGAGCGAACAGG